rnacentral:rRNA from 1 species
AACGAACGCUGGCGGCAGGCUUAACACAUGCAAGUCGAACGGUUGUAGCAAUACAGCAGUGGCGCACGGGUGAGUAACGCGUGGAUAUCUGCCUUUUGGUUCGGAAUAACUCCGGGGAACUGGAGCUAAUACCGGAUGGUUCCUACGGGAUAAAGAUUUAUCGCCAAAAGAUGAGUCCGCGUACGAUUAGCUAGUUGGUGAGGUAAUGGCUCACCAAGGCGACGAUCGUUAGCUGGUCUGAGAGGACGAUCAGCCACACUGGGACUGAGACACGGCCCAGACUCCUACGGGAGGCAGCGGUGGGGAAUAUUGGACAAUGGGGGCAACCCUGAUCCAGCCAUGCCGCGUGAGUGAUGAAGGCCUUCGGGUUGUAAAGCUCUUUUGGCGGGGACGAUGAUGACGGUACCCGCAGAAUAAGCCCCGGCUAACUUCGUGCCAGCAGCCGCCGUAA